rnacentral:other from 1 species
GUGGAGCUGCCCGGUGCGUCAGGCACAUUAAUCCCCCGGGCCGAUAAGCAUUCCCUCGGGAACUGGCGCUGUCAUGGCCGUGGUCAUGAUAACCGGUGCCCACCUGCUCUAGCAGGUCUGAGGAGGAUGAUACGCCAACGGCCAGGGUGGCUCCCCU